rnacentral:rRNA from 1 species
UACGGAGGGGGUUAGCGUUGUUCAGAAUGACUGGGCGUAAAGCGCGCGUAGGCGGGCUGGAAAGUUGGGGGUGAAAUCCCGGGGCUCAACCCCGGAAUGGCCUUCAAAACUCCCAGCCUAGAGUUCGAGAGAGGUGAGUGGAAUUCCGAGUGUAGAGGUGAAAUUCGUAGAUAUUCGGAGGAACACCAGUGGCGAAGGCGGCUCACUGGCUCGACACUGACGCUGAGGUGCGAAAGCGUGGGGAGCAAACAGG